rnacentral:rRNA from 1 species
AACGCUAGCUACAGGCUUAACACAUGCAAGUCGAGGGGCAGCAUAAAAGUAGCAAUACUUUGGUGGCGACCGGCGCACGGGUGAGUAACGCGUAUGCAACCUACCUAUCAGAGGGGGAUAACCCGGCGAAAGUCGGACUAAUACCGCAUAAAACAGGAGCACCGCAUGGUGCUAUUUGUUAAAAAUUUAUUGCUGAUAGAUGGGCAUGCGUUCCAUUAGGUAGUUGGAGAGGUAACGGCUCACCAAGCCCACGAUGGAUAGGGGAACUGAGAGGUUGGUCCCCCACACUGGUACUGAGACACGGACCAGACUCCUACGGGAGGCAGCAGUGAGGAAUAUUGGUCAAUGGGCGAGAGCCUGAACCAGCCAAGUCGCGUGAAGGAAGAAGGAUCUAUGGUUCGUAAACUUCUUUUGCAGGGGAAUAAAGUGCAGGACGUGUCCUGUUUUGUAUGUACCCUGAGAAUAAGGAUCGGCUAACUCCGUGCCAGCAGCCGCGGUAAUACGGAGGAUCCGAGCGUUAUCCGGAUUUAUUGGGUUUAAAGGGUGCGUAGGUGGUUUAAUAAGUCAGCGGUGAAAGUUUGCAGCUUAACUGUAAAAAUGCCGUUGAAACUGUUAGACUUGAGUGUAAAUGAGGUAGGCGGAAUGCGUGGUGUAGCGGUGAAAUGCUUAGAUAU